AGACAGCGGAGAUUCAUUACCCGCCGACACAAUGACCAUUGAUGGCCCCGUGGCGUUAUUCAAAUCCAGUACCAAUUGCAGCCGAGCCCCUUUCUCCGCGCCAGGCCCGUAUUGUUGGAGCGGCCCACUAAAAGCCCGCCCCGGCCCCGAGCCGCCAGAGGCGCCCGCUCGGGCUCAGCCCUGCGCCUCGCCAGCUCGCCGGCUCCCAGCCCGGCUCCCCGGGCGCUGCAGGUGACCCGGCGGCGCAUUCCAGCGCUCCCCGCCGUCCCAGCCACUGCCGCCACUGCUACCGCCGGCGCCCCGGCCGCGACUCAGCCACAGGGAAGCGGAGAGCGCCCGAGCCGGGACCCCGGGCCGCGAUCGAAGGAGACACGCGCCAGGAGCGACCGGGAUCCCCACGCAGGGUCGGGAUCCGCGUGCUUGCUCGUCCACCUUACCGCGGGAUGGGCCGCGACUGCCGAGCAUCUGCGAGGUCCGCGAAUCUCCGGAGAUCUGGUCCGGCGCUUUUAAGGAGCGAGGCGGAACCCCGCAGGAGACCGGGGCCCUGAACUCAGGGGCUUCGCCACUGAUUGUCCAAACGCAAUUCUUGUACGAGUCUGCGGCCAACCGAGAAUUGUGGCUGGACAUCUGUGGCUGAGCUCCGGGCACGACAGGGGCGGGAGCCGCAGGGACCGAGCUCAACGCGGGCGAGACUCCUCGGGGUGGCGGCUGGCUGGACCCAGCGCGAGGAUCGCGGCCCUGGCCAGGCGCGCGAAGGAGGGACACCGGUCCCUGUCACCAGCGCCGCCAUCCUCCUCCCCUCGUCGUCGUCCUCGUUCUCCUCCUCCUCUGCGGGUGACCAGUCCUGGCUGGCGGGGUCCUCCAGGCGAUAGCGUCGUUUUUCCCUUUUUCAAAUUUCGGCCGGGAACGAAGCUGGCACGCCGCGGCGCGGCCCAAAUGUGGUCCGGGGAGCUCGCCCUCGGCCCGAGCCGCAGAAAGUCCGGGAGAAAGAAGAUGCCGGCGGACUGCGCUUGCUAACUCGUUUUGAAUUGAUUCUAACCCAUCCUCCCCCACCAGUAUGCCCUAAGCAAGCCUAAACCGACCCCUAAAUCCCAAAUAAACCGACCCCUCCCGCCAGCCCCUCCAGACCGACCCAUGGGCUGAGUCUCCUCCAGCCGCGGCUGGAGUGGGAGAAGCGUCGGGAAUGAUGCGCUCAUUGCCCCAGCGGGGCAAUCGCCUCGGCUUUGGAAAUAGAACUUGGACAAACGAAUUCUUUUCAUUAAAGAUAAAUUUUUGGA